rnacentral:rRNA from 1 species
GACGAACGCUGGCGGCGUGCUUAACACAUGCAAGUCGUACGGUAAGGCCCUUUCGGGUGGACACGAGUGGCGAACGGUUGAGUAACACGGGAGUAACCUGCCCACUACAUUGGUAUAACGCGAGGAAACUAGUGCUAAUACUGCAUAUGUGCUCCUCCUGCAUGGUGGGGGUUGGAAAGCUCCGGCGGUUGUGGAUGGACUCGCGGCCUGUCAGCUUGUUGGUGGGGUAGUGGCCUACCAGGGCGGCGAGGGGUAGCCGGACUGAGAGGGUGACCGGCCACAUUGGGACUGAGAGACGGCCCAGACGCCUACGGGAGGAAGAAGUGGGGAAUAUUGCACCAUGGGCGCAAGCCUGAUGCAGCAACGCCGCGUGCGGGAUGACGGCCUUCGGGUUGUAAACAGCUUUCAGCAGGGACGAAGCUUUUUGUGACGGUACCUGAAGAAGAAGCACCGGCUAACUACGUG